GGAGAGCUCAGUGGUAGAGUGCUUGUCUAGCAUACAUGAGGCCCUGGGUUCUAUCCCCAGCACCA
rnacentral:tRNA from 1 species